UUGGUCCCUUAACUAUUAAAAGUUUCGUUUCGGUCCCAUAACUUAUUUUUGGGUUUUCUUUUGGUCCCUUAACUAUUAAAAGUUUCAUUUUGGUCCCUUGACUUAUUUUUUGGUUUCGUUUUGGUCUCUUAACUUAUUUUUUUGUUUCAUUUUGGUCCCUUAACUCUAAUACAUUCAUCCUAACAUAAAGGAUCAAAGAGGUUGACGGAGGAUGAGUUAAGGGACCAAAACGAAACCAAAAAGUAAGUUAACGGACCAAAACGAAGCUUUUAAUAGUUAAGGGACCAAAACGAAACCAAAAAGUAAGUUAAGGGACCAAAACGAAACUUUUAAUAGUUAAGGGACCAAAACGAAACUAAAAAAUAAGUUAAGGGACCAAAA
rnacentral:pre_miRNA from 1 species